rnacentral:rRNA from 1 species
UACAGGGGGGGCAAGCGUUGUUCGGAAUUACUGGGCGUAAAGGGCUCGUAGGCGGCCAACUAAGUCACACGUGAAAUCCCCAGGCUUAACCUGGGAACUGCGUGUGAUACUGGAUGGCUUGAAUUCGGGAGAGGGAUGCAGAAUUCCAGGUGUAGCGGUGAAAUGCGUAGAUAUCUGGAGGAAUACCGGUGGCGAAGGCGACUACCUGGCCUGUUCUUGACGCUGAGGCGCGAAAGCUAGGGGAGCAAACGGG